AGAGAGAGAGAGAGAGAGAGAGAGAGAGUUGGUGAAAUGGAUUGGUUGUUGAAGAAGAAGAAGGAAUCACGAAAAGGGGAUUUGGGAUGUUAAGUUGACCAUGGCCGUAUAGAAUUGAAACAAUGGAGGUCUGUUAAAUUAGGAGAGUGAGGGAGAGAGUGAAAAGCGAUGGCUGAAUGGGAGAGGACGAAAAGGAUUUUAGAAACAGAGACACAGAGGCGGUGCAUCUCAGAAUUUAACAACAGUCGUGGGAAAUUGGAAGUUCAAAAAAUAACCAGUUUUUUACUUAACACGCUCAUCAAAAUCAAUUUUAUUUUUAUUUCCAAAA